rnacentral:rRNA from 1 species
UUCUUAUAGAAAUAAUUAUAAGUAAGACCUGCUCAAUGAGAUUAAAUAGCUGCAGUAUACUGUACUAAGGUAGCAUAAUCAAUAGUUUUUUAAUUGAAAGCUUGAAUGAAUGGUUAAAUGAAUAAUUAAAAGUAUUAUAAAAAAAGAUUGAAGUUUGAGUUUUUGUAAAAAUACAAAAGUAAAUUUUAGGGACAAGAAGACCCUGUAAAGCUUAAUAAUUUUGCUUUAAAAAAGUAAAAUUUUUUUAUUGGGGAAAUAAAAUAAGAUAAGAAAUUUAUUAUUUUGAUCCAAAAUUUUUGAUUAAAAGAAAAAGUUACUUCAGGGAUAACAGCAUAAUAAUAAAAUUAAAGCACAAAUUUGAUUUUAUGAUUGUGACCUCGAUGUUGGAUUAAUUUAACUUUCAGGAGAAAAAAUUUGAAGAAGUUAGUCUGUUCGACUAUAAAAUAAUUACA